GACGAACGCUGGCGGCGUGCUUAACACAUGCAAGUCGAACGGAAAGGCCCUGCUUUUGUGGGGUGCUCGAGUGGCGAACGGGUGAGUAACACGUGAGUAACCUGCCCUUGACUUUGGGAUAACUUCAGGAAACUGGGGCUAAUACCGGAUAGGAGCUUCUGCUGCAUGGUGGGGGUUGGAAAGUUUCGGCGGUUGGGGAUGGACUUGCGGCUUAUCAGCUUGUUGGUGGGGUAGUGGCUUACCAAGGCGUUGACGGGUAGCCGGCCUGAGAGGGUGACCGGCCACAUUGGGACUGAGAUACGGCCCAGACUCCUACGGGAGGCAGCAGUGGGGAAUAUUGCACAAUGGGCGGAAGCCUGAUGCAGCAAUGCCGCGUGCGGGAUGACGGCCUUCGGGUUGUAAACCGCUUUCGCCUGUGACGAAGCGUGAGUGACGGUAAUGGGUAAAGAAGCACCGGCUAACUACGUGCCAGCCGCCGCGGUAA
rnacentral:rRNA from 1 species